UCCUGUUAAUGAGGAUCAUUUAGGGGAAGCUGCUGCUUGUGUGACUUCUUCUCCACCAUCUGAUGAUACAACUUCUAGAAAGAAACCUAGGCUAAAAUGGGGUGAGGGGCUUGCUAAGUAUGAGAAGAAAAUAGUUGACGGGCCUGAUCUUUGUGAAAACAAAGAUAUCCAUGUCAGUAAUAUGGAACCCUAUAAUAAUCCUAGUCCCCAUGACACAGUAGAUAAAAGUCUGAAAAUUACAGGAUUUUCAGGCUGUGCAUCUCCUGCUACUCCUGCUGCCUUCAGUUCCUCCCCAGGUAUGUUUCAGGACCUCGGCUGUUUGAAACCUUUUUAAACCUUCAGUUGACAAGUUAGAACAAAAUGCCAACUUAACUUGUGAAAGUAUUUACUACUUGCAGCGAUGUAAUAUUUUAAUUAGCAUGGUGGUAUGUCCUGCUAUAACAUGCCAUGUAGUGAAUAAUACUCUGAUGUAGGGUGUUUAUCUUACUAUGCUACAUAGGACUGUGCCUGGACUUCUAUUUUGGAAAGUAGACAGCUUGGGUACAGGCAUGAAAUUUUGCUGGAGAAUUAAAAUACAGAAUAACCGCUAUUUUGGCUAGUAAUUCUUAACUGGAUUUAUACGUUGCAAGUAUUUAGUUAUCCCAUCUCUUUGUUUCCUUAUUGAUUUUUUUUCUGAGGAGGAUAAUUUUUUCAAACCUAAUGUAUAACGAAAGGGCGGCCAGCCGGCCAUGUGCACGAGGCUCCCACCUAGUGGGGUAUGGGGAAGGUAGACGUACACUAACUUAUCCUUGCAAUUGAAGAGGUUGUUUCCCGGAUUUGAAUCCAUGACCUCCAGGUCACAAGGCAAACAACUUCUCUGAUGUGCCAAGGCUUACCCUCUAAUGUAUAAUGUUAGUUAAAAGCUUUCUCUUAAUAGUUAAUACCAUCAUGAUAGCAGUAAAAGUGUAAAUUCUGUGUCCUUUUAUUUUUUUCCUAACAAGGAUAAUUUUUCUGAGCCUUAUGAAUGAUGCUAGUUAAUAUUUUUCCCAUAAUACUCUCAUAAUAGUAGUCUCAUCUCAUUGGAAUUGUUUAUAUAUAUUACUGCCCCACCCUUAUAUAUUCUUUUUUCCAUUUCAUGCACUAAUAGCACUAUUUAUUUUCAAAAUCUAAUUUUCACAUUCUAGCAGGUAUGGAUGAUAAAUUAUUUGGAAAGACUGAAAGUGUGGACAAUGAUGUCAGCAACUUGACUGUUUCAGCUGUUCCUGGGUUCCAAAAUCAUCUUCAGAAGUUUUCUUUUAAUUUAGAGAAAUUGGAUAUUGACUCCCUGAAUAAUAUGGGAGCUUCAAUUACCGAGUUGGUACAAUGUGAUGAUCCAAGUUCUGUGGAUUCUGGUCUUAUGAGUUCAAGUGCAAUGAAUAAGUUGCUGAUAUGGAAAGCUGACAUUUCAAAGGUACUGGAAAUGACUGAAUCUGAAAUUGAUUCACUUGAAACCGAACUUAAGUCUCUAAAAUCCGAAUGUGGGGAUAGGUGUCCAUGUCCAGCAGCAGCAUUGGGCUCCCAGCGGGUAUGUCGCAAUGAAAAACCACGUGAAGAACAUUCUGGAGUCUCUGAUAAGGUCCUUCUGCCUGAACCCUUAAAAAUUAUUUCUUCUGAUGGCCCCCUUGUGGACGAGAGGCCUCUCUCAACUAAUUUACACAGUAGUCAUGAAAACGGCAAGGAUGAAGAUAUUGAUAGUCCUGGAACAACAACAUUUAAAUUUGUAGAGCCGCUGCCUUUGACUACAGUUGUUUCUUCAUGUGAUACUAUCAGAUGUUCUAACUUCUCUGGGGACUUGGAUGUUAUGCAGUCUGCAGCCGUGAAAAGCUUAGGUCCCUGUACUACCAGGAAAGGUGCCAGUGUAUCUGUUUGUGGUCAUGGCAAUACAUCUUUAGAGACAAAAGAUUGUAUGAAUGCUGGUACCCCUGGUUCCAGCUUGUGUCACAACACUGGGGACAGUUUAUAUAAUAUAAUUGUUACUUCCAACAAAGAAUCUGCAAACAGAUCAUGUGGGGUAUUGGCUAAGUUAUUGCCAAAAGAAUGCUGUGAGAUUGGUAAUAUGGGAGGUAGCAGUAGUACCUCAUUUCCCCAUAAUGCAUCCAUCAUGGAAAAUGUUUUUUAUGGGAAUGGAAUGUCUACUUUAAAGAAAUGUAUUUCUUCAUAGAAUUUACUAUGAUAUUUUUUAAAUCCUUUGCCUUUUAUAUGGUCAAGAUAAUAUAUACUUUGCGCUUUUGUUGAUUUUCCCUUUUUUGUUUAAACAUUUUCUUAAGGUCUUGGUAAGCAGGGCAGUCGGCACCAGUUUUCUGAAGAAUUGGGCCAUGGGUAUGCAGUUUCUCGGUCCAGCGACAAAAUGCUGGAGGACAAUGUUAGGUCAUCAUCAGUUUCACGUGGUGAUGGAAGAUAUGUCAGGAACAAUAGGGAAAAUAGAGGACCCUUUGGCCAGAGAGAUUGGAGAGGACAUUCAUGGGAAGCUACCAACAGCUCUUUGAAUAUGUCCAGGAGACCACCAGAUGUGAAAAAUGACCAGAGGUCAGAUUGUGACAUAAUAUAUUCCUCUCACCCGCAUUCUGAUUUCCUGAACACUCGGGAUCAGCACAACUCAAAAGACCAGCAUGAUAAGAUGGGUGAUGUCAAUGGGUGUGGAACAGACCCGGGAUGUGAUAAAGGGAAAUCUCUGGGUUCAAUUGACUGGAAGCCACUUAAAUGGACCAGAUCUGGAGGCUUGUCAUCACGAGGCUCAGGUUUUCGUCACUGUAGUAGGUCGAGGAGCAUGGGAGGGGAAGAUUCAUAUGGAGUGAAGAUUGACUUGCAACCCAAAAAUGCUCCUGUUAAUGAGGAUCAUUUAGGGGAAGCUGCUGCUUGUGUGACUUCUUCUCCACCAUCUGAUGAUACAACUUCUAGAAAGAAACCUAGGCUAAAAUGGGGUGAGGGGCUUGCUAAGUAUGAGAAGAAAAUAGUUGACGGGCCUGAUCUUUGUGAAAACAAAGAUAUCCAUGUCAGUAAUAUGGAACCCUAUAAUAAUCCUAGUCCCCAUGACACAGUAGAUAAAAGUCUGAAAAUUACAGGAUUUUCAGGCUGUGCAUCUCCUGCUACUCCUGCUGCCUUCAGUUCCUCC
rnacentral:lncRNA from 1 species